CAACGCCGCGUGGAGGAUGAAGCCCCUUGGGGCGUAAACUCCUUUCGACCGGGAAAAUAAUGAUGGUACCAGUGGAAGAAGCACCGGCUAACUCUGUGC
rnacentral:rRNA from 1 species